UAAAAGAGAACAAAAGUGAAUUUACUACAAUGAAUAGCUGACCAAUUUUUAAACCCAGACCAUUUUGAGGUCAUCAGAUUUGUUUCUAUAUGUCUGUUGUUACACGAGUUUCAGGGAACAGAGCAUAUCCAUAAAUGCCUGAGGUGCUUUGAGACUCAAAAGUAGCCUUUUGCUGGACAAGUCUGGAGAGAAGAUAAUUAAGCCAUGUAAAGCUGAGACCAUAGUAGUUUCUCCUGGAUCUUUAAAUUUUUUAUUUCUUUUUGAGCAAUCCUUAAUUUCUUGGUUUCAUUAUUAAAAGGGUCUUCUUUAGAUUAAGGUGAUCUAGCUCCCCAAAACUAAGUAGCAUCAUCUAAAGAAGAUGAACUUGAGUCAAGAAAUAAUGGGUUUCUCCUGUUGAAGUUAAGGAUUACUCAGAAGAUCCUAUUUUCUUACUCAGAAGCCAUUCUUCACAAAAUUAUCACAUGUUUUUGCUAUGUAUUUUAAAUACCACAAAUUUUGCAAAGUGCUACUAUAGGGAUUCCAUCCAGUGACCCACAGCUUCAUUUUGUGAGCUCACAGUCAAAACCAUGGAGAGAAGCCGUGGGGUUGAAUGCAUGACCUCAUACUCCCAAGUUCUAAACUUGACCCCAACCAGAUAUAUGCAAAAUGAUGUCAAAAAUGAAGUUUGUACCUGAGGCCUAAAUACACUCUUUUCUUUCCUUUUCUUUUCUUUUCUCUUCUCUUCUCUUCUCUUCUCUUCUCUUCUCUUCUCUUCUCUUCUCUUCUCUUCUUUCUCUUCUUCUUCUUUCUCUUCUCUUCUUUCCCCACUCAGCCAUUUAAAUGCUUUUUCCGGAAAAGUCUGUGAAGUCUUCUACAGUGAGGGCUUGCUUAUGCCCAGAGAGCAAUAUAUCAAACUCUUGCUGACACCUUAUGGAAGUGACAUAUUUAGGGAUUGUCAUUCUUCAAGGCACUGUGCUCUGGAGGCUUUUGAAGGAAAAGAAGGAAACCAGCUUCUAGUGAGUAUAGCCAUUUGACAAGCCUUCAACAUCAACUUUUCCUGUAAUCCCCAUGAUAAUUUUAUGAAGUUCAUUAGAAGCACUCUUAACAUAUCUUCACUUACCAGACACUGAAAUGACUGAUGUUCUUCCUUCUCUCCAUAUGCCAACGAAUGUCUGUAGCCAGCUGGGAGGCUGUUCUGUAUGCUCACUGGCUUCUGCUCUCACCGUGUGAGUUGUUUGCUUGCCAAACACCAGUUGCAUCAGUUUACAAACCAGUUACAACUAUAAUUAGGUAAUCUAAUGAAAUAGUUAACAUAUCAAUGAAAAAGAGUGAAAAUGAAAGAAAGCUGCUGUUUCUAUGAAAACUAAGUUGAGUAAUCUAAAACGACUCAGUUUAAAGGCAAGCCAACUAAAACAAAACAAAACAAAAAUUGUAAUUAGAUUUGUCACAGGCCAGACAACUGUAAAAAACUAAAAAAUAAAUAGAGUGGAGAUAAUGUGAGUGGGAAUAAG
rnacentral:lncRNA from 12 species